GUCCCUGUAGCGCAAUGGAUAGCACGUUGGACUUCUAAUCCAAAGGUCUUGGUUUCAAUUACCACCUGGGAUG